rnacentral:rRNA from 1 species
CAGUGCCGCGGUAAUACGGAGGGAGCUAGCGUUGUUCGGAAUUACUGGGCGUAAAGCGCGCGUAGGCGGUUACUCAAGUCAGAGGUGAAAGCCCUGGGCUCAACCCCGGAACUGCCUUUGAAACUAGGUGACUAGAAUCUUGGAGAGGUCAGUGGAAUUCCGAGUGUAGAGGUGAAAUUCGUAGAUAUUCGGAAGAACACCAGUGGCGAAGGCGACUGACUGGACAAGUAUUGACGCUGAGGUGCGAAAGCGUGGGGAGCAAACAGGAUUAGAUACCCCUGUAGUCCCUGUCUCUUAUACC